rnacentral:lncRNA from 1 species
GACAAGUGGAUUAAUGACUUAUUUUUCUGGAUUUUGAUUUGGGCUUAGGAGACUGGUAUCUAAUACUUUUGCUUGGGCUUUAUUUGGGGUUUAAUUGGGUUCAAUUGGCAAAAACAAUGAGGCUAGCCCAUCAGUUUUGCUUGGGUUUCGAUUGGGCCAAGUGACUUUCGGCCCCAACAAAUAAGAAAUGGCCCAAGUGGCCUGAUCCAUUAAGAAACCAAAAAAUGCAUUUGCGAAUCAGUCCCUGGAUUUUUCCUUAACUAUACAGUGGCCCUAGAAACUUUCCAUUUCUUUCAAUUGGGUCCCUAGUUUAAUUGUAAAUAGGUCCCUCAACUUUAUUUUUCUUUAUUUGUGACCUUGAAUCUUUGUGAUAAUUGUAAUUGAACCCCCAAAGCUUUGUUAAUUCUUGCAAUCAAGUC